CCCCCCCCCGCCUAUGUAAUGUCAUGGAAACAGGAACAGAAAAGCCAGCAACUGACAGUGAAGUCACGUGUCUCCGUGUCUCUCUAGGUGUCAGGCAUCCUUUUGAUAUCUUCAAAUGCCAAUUUGUACAAUCCCAUGACAUAUUGUUGGGCUCGAAAGACUUUUAUUUGAAGAGUGAAUAAAAUAGAAUUCACCCAGGCAAGAUGUCUGCUCUUCUAACCUUUUAUCAAACAAAUAAGAAUUCAGGAAUAUGGUCCAGAUGUUUUCCCUUCUAGAAGAUGUGGACUCUCAGGAUGAAGUAGUUGGAAAUCUUAACGUACACAUCUAAAUAACUGAGAAGUUCUAAGUCGUCUCUAGCAUCUGUGGAGCUGAAUCCCGCACAGAUUGUGAACUCCUUGAGAGCAAACUCAAUGCCUAUGCCAAACUGAAGAUACACGUGUGAUUACCAGCCUCCAAGAUGGCCUCCAGUUAUCCUUGCCUCUGGUAUUCAGGCCCUUGUGUUGCCAGGGCUAACCUGUGUGACCAAAAGAAUACUAAGAAAGUGACAGUAUGGCACUUCCUGCCUUGGCCUUCUGGGUGGCUUCCUUUGGGGGAAAGCAGCUGCCACAUUGUGAGGUCACUCAAGUAGCCCAGUGGAGAAGCACUGAGGCCUCUUCUAACAACCAGCACCAAUUUGCCAGCCACAUGAGCGAGUCAUCUUAGAAGCAGAUCUUUAAGGCCCAGUCCAGCCUUUGGUUGACUUCAGCCUGCCAAUAUCUGACUACAACCUCAUCAGAGACCCAUAAGCCAAGCCCAAACUGCUCGGCCAAGCCAGCCCCAAAUUCCUGAUCCAGAGAAACAAUGAGAGAUAACAAAUGAGUAUUGUUGUUUCAGCCGCUAAGUUUUGGGGUGGUUUGUUAUGCAGCAUUAGAUAAUGAAUGCAAAUACCUAUAUUUUAGUUACUUGAAGAGGAUGCUCAACCUAGCAACUAAAUUCCUGCUUCUCAGCCAUAUUUGACUUCACUGUGAAUCCACCUAACAUCAUCAGCCUAUCAACAAGUGCUUAUUGAUCACAUGCUAUAUAGCAAACAGUGCUAAAGCAGCUGGAGAUGCAGAGCUCUGCAAGUUAUGACCCUGCUCUCAGAGCUCUUGAUAUAGUUUAGGAGACAAAUAAGAGCGUGUGAAAAGUUAACAACAUAAAAUAGAGAUUUAAGGAUGAUGAUUUCAGAGGAAGGCAAUGGAUCUUACGUUUGCUUACCAUGAGAAGUUUUCAUGGUAGAGAUGGUCAGGGACCUACAUGGAAACAUGGCCUAGAUCUAGAAUACUUGUGGUUCUCAAAUGUGAGAGUGCAUCAGAACCACCUGGAGAGCUUGUUAAAACUCAGAUUUCUCGGGCUUCCCUGGUGGCACAGUGGUUGAGAGUCCGCCUGCCGAUGCAGG